rnacentral:rRNA from 1 species
GGCCGCGGGAAUUCGAUUCAGGCCUAACACAUGCAAGUCGAACGGCAGCGCGGGUGCUUGCACCUGGUGGCGAGUGGCGAACGGGUGAGUAAUACAUCGGAACGUACCUUAUCGUGGGGGAUAACGCAGCGAAAGCUGUGCUAAUACCGCAUACGCCCUGAGGGGGAAAGCGGGGGAUCGCAAGACCUCGCGCGAUUAGAGCGGCCGAUGCCUGAUUAGCUAGUUGGUGGGGUAAAAGCCCACCAAGGCGACGAUCAGUAGCUGGUCUGAGAGGACGAUCAGCCACACUGGGACUGAGACACGGCCCAGACUCCUACGGGAGGCAGCAGUGGGGAAUUUUGGACAAUGGGGGCAACCCUGAUCCAGCAAGGCCGCGUGAGUGAAGAAGGCCUUCGGGUGUAAAUUUAAGAGUCAGGGAAGAAACACCGGCUCUAACACAGUCC